UUCUGACCCCCAAAUCUAGUGUAGGACUAGAGGGGAGCCAACACGCACCAGAUCAGGCUAGCAAAGUGACUGGCACUCACACCAGUACCCAAGGAGGAUUUGCUGCUGGAGCAGCUGCAGCACAUUGUGGGUCCAUAGUCAGAGGAAUUGUGUGAUGACCCCCCAGAGGAGCAGCCAGCCAUAGAGCUUGCAGAAGAGUCAGAAGUAGCCCCAGUGCCUGGCCCUUCCACCUCUGCAGCCCAGUUACACUGCAGCAGGAGUUUGAUUUCAAACUGUCAUGGAGUGGUCAAAGAGGAAGUGUUUCCCUGAUGAACUUAUGGUGGACAUCCUGGAUGGGGCCAACAAGCAGCUCAGUGGCCCUUCCACCUACCACAUCCACAUAGGGGAGCAGGUGGCUUACUCAACAGGAAAGGCAACAACAAAACCGAGGAUUAUAUUGAAUGAAAGCUGUCAGGGCUGCAGAGGAACAAAUGGACCUAAAAAAGUCAUGUGGGCUGCAGGCUUCAGAGAGUUUGAAUUUAUGUGGUGGUGUCAAGACAUUUCAGUUACAUCAAAUCAAGGCACUUGGCAAUUUAUAAGGAGUAAAAG